GUGAGGAAUAUUGGUCAAUGGGCGGGAGCCUGAACCAGCCAAGUCGCGUGAAGGAAGAAGGCUUUCGGGUUGUAAACUUCUUUUACCAGGGACGAAACAAAUGACGGUACCUGGUGAAUAAGCCACGGCUAACUACGUGCCAGCAGCCGCGGUAAUACGUAGGUGGCGAGCGUUAUCCGGAUUUAUUGGGUGUAAAGGGCGUGUAGGCGGGACAGCAAGUCAGAUGUGAAAACCAGAGGCUCAACCUCUGGCCUGCAUUUGAAACUGUUGUUCUUGAGUGUCGGAGAGGUAAUCGGAAUUCCGUGUGUAGCGGUGAAAUGCGUAGAUAUACGGAGGAACACCAGUGGCGAAGGCGGAUUACUGGACGAUAACUGACGCUGAGGCGCGAAAGCGUGGGGAGCAAACAGGAUUAGAAACCCCGGAAGUCC
rnacentral:rRNA from 1 species